ACGAACGCUGGCGGCGUGCCUAAUACAUGCAAGUCGAGCGAAGUUUUUCUGGUGCUUGCACCGGAAAAACUUAGCGGCGAACGGGUGAGUAACACGUAAAGAACCUGCCUCAUAGACUGGGACAACUAUUGGAAACGAUAGCUAAUACCGGAUAAUAGCAUUAACUGCAUGGUUGAUGUUUAAAAGUUGGUUUUGCUAACACUAUGAGAUGGCUUUGCGGUGCAUUAGCUAGUUGGUGGGGUAAAGGCCUACCAAGGCGACGAUGCAUAGCCGACCUGAGAGGGUGGUCGGCCACACUGGGACUGAGACACGGCCCAGACUCCUACGGGAGGCAGCAGUAGGGAAUCUUCCGCAAUGGGCGAAAGCCUGACGGAGCAACGCCGCGUGAGUGAAGAAGGAUUUCGGUUCGUAAAGCUCUGUUGUUAGGGAAGAAUGAUUGUGUAGUAACUAUACACAGUAGAGACGGUACCUAACCAGAAAGCCACGGCUAACUACGUG
rnacentral:rRNA from 1 species